CUCAAGUCAAUUGUAUUUAAAUUCAUGUUCAUUAAAGAUUUUUAUUCAAGAAUUAAAAAGUCCCAUUUACUUAAUGAUCAUUUUUCACUGUCUUCAACCUCAAGAACCAGGGUGAGUCUGGGUAACCCUUUUACUGGGCAAACACAACUUCGAUAUCGUCAUAGACUAGGCCGAAACGUUAAUCUUUUAACCUUGCCUGAAUAAAACAAUGCAUUUUUUUAUAGUGAGCAAGAGUAGUGCUUUUUCCUUUUCAAUGAUGAUUCAAAUUUUUGGUUGCACCGAAACUCAACGUUGGUUGAGCGCCCUGCGUUUUUUUGUUGUCAAUUUUUUUUUUAAAUGUACAAAGUAAAUUAUUAAAAGCAUUAAAAUUGGGAUGUUUCCCACUUAUUUAUAAAACCUACUCCACACUUGCAUAGUGAAAGUUUAUAGAAAAGUUCUGAAAUUAAGUAGUAAACAGAAGAAAAGCAGAAUUGAGUCCAAUUAUAAUGCGAAUAAUUUAAUGGUCUAUGGUUCAAUCCCACUUCUGAAUGUCUGAUGAAUAAUUAAUAUUGUUCCUCCUCUUCCUUGUAGCAGGCGCAGCAGCACACUGCCCUCCAAAGCCUGCAAAAUAAUCGCCGGACUGCCCCUUUCCUAGCUCUACAUGGAACAUCCAGUGUCACGUCCUUGGUUACGUGUGGGGUGACAUCCGGGAUGACCACAGCAACAUCCUCUGGAAAGGGAAAAAAGAGGAACAGAAUGUAAACAAAUGCAAACCGUAGGUUCUAAACACUGGCCAGUUGAAAGGUUCUUCUAAGAUGUCAUGACAAACGGCACCUGUCAGAGUGCUCUCUAAGUGUUACUCACCUGCUUGGAUGUCAGCUGGCAGAGUGGUGAAGACGGCCAUCGUGAGAGUCCUUUCUUCAGGUGUGACGUCCACAACCUCCAAGAGGGAAGAGAUGGGCUCUGCCUCUGUAUUAGGGGUGAUGUCCACAAUAUUUAGGUGGAAAGAAGCCGGCUCUGCCUCUGUGUUAGGGGUUAUGUCCACAACAUUCAGGUGGAGAGAAGCCGGAUCUGCCUCUGUGUUAGGGGUGAUGUCCACAACCUCCAGGUGGGAAGAAGCCGGGCCUGCCUCUGUUUUUGGGGUGAUGUCUUGAACCUCCAGGUGGGAAGAACCCGGAUCUGCCUCUGUAUUAAGGGUUAUGUCCACAACAUUCAGGUGGGAAGAAGCCGGAUCUGCCUCUGUAUUAAGGGUUAUGUCCACAACAUUCAGGUGGAGAGAAGCCGGGUCUUCCUCUGUGUUAGGGGUGAUGUUCACAACCUCCAGGUGGGAAGAUGCCGGGUCUGCCUCUGUUUUUGGGGUGAUGUCUUGAACUUCCAGGUGGGAACAACCCGGGUCUGCCUCUGUUUUUGGGGUGAUGUCCACAACCUCCAGGUGGGAACAAGCCGGGUCUGCGUCUGUUUUUGGGGUGAUGUCCACAACCUCCAGGUGGGAACAAGCCGGGUCUGCCUCUGUGUUAGGGGUGACUUUCACAAUCUCCAGGUGGAAAGAAGCCGGAUCUGCCUCUGUGUUAGUGGUGAUGUCCACAACAUUCAGGUGGGAAGACGCUGGGUCUGUGUCAUGGGUGACAACAACAAUCCUGAUGAGCUCUACUACUACUACACCAAGAUGUCAUCAGAACAGGCAUCUGUCAGAGUGCUCGCUAU
rnacentral:lncRNA from 1 species